AGCUCCAAUAGCGUAUACCAAUGCUGUUGCGGUUAAAAAGCUCGUAGUUGGAUCUCGGCAGGCAGGGAGCGGUUCGAUGUUUGUCGCUACUGCUCCAUUUGCCUGUGACUUUGGCGGAGGUUUCAGGGUGCUCUUAAUCGAGUGUCCUGGGACGCCGCCAGGUUUACUUUGAAAAAAUUGGAGUGCUCAAAGCAGGCUGUACACGCCUGGACAUUCGUGCAUGGAAUAAUGGAAUAGGACGUCGUUUCUAUUUCGUUGGUUUUCGGAAAUCGACGUAAUGAUUAAUAGGGACAGUCGGGGGCAUUAGUAUUCAGGCGCUAGAGGUGAAAUUCUUGGACCGUCUGAAGACUAACUACUGCGAAAGCAUUUGCCAAGAAUGUUUUCA
rnacentral:rRNA from 1 species